rnacentral:tRNA from 1 species
GGGCUGGGGCUCAGUGGUAGAGUGCUUGCCUAGCAUGUAUGAGGCACUGGGUUCGAUUCUCCGCACCACA